GAUGAAGAACGUAGCGAAAUGCGAUACGUAAUGUGAAUUGCAGAAUUCAGUGAAUCAUCGAGUCUUUGAACGCACAUUGCGCCCCCUGGUAUUCCGGGGGUCAUGCCUGUCCGAGCGUCAUUGCUGCCCUCAAGCACGGCUUGUGUGUUGGGCCUCCGUCCUCCUCCCGGGGGACGGGCCCGAAAGGCAGCGGCGGCACCGCGUCCGGUCCUCGAGCGUAUGGGGCUUCGUCACCCGCUCUUGUAGGCCCGGCCGGCGCUUGCCGACACAUCAAUCUUUUUUCCAGGUUGACCUCGGAUCAGGUAGGGAUACCCGCUGAACUUAAGCAUAUCAAUAAGCGGAGGA
rnacentral:misc_RNA from 1 species